rnacentral:tRNA from 1 species
GGUUCCAUAGUGUAGUGGUUUAUCACAUCUGCUUAACACGCAGAAGGUCGUGAGUUCGAAAUUCGCUGGAACCU